CUUAGAGACGCCAGGGGUCUGUCCCUUACCCACCUGCAGUGUUGAAGGUAGAGGUGAAAAAUCUGGCUUUGAUAUCUUCAUGGAGGACUACAUUAUUUCAAUCCUGAAUCUGGUUCAGUUUUCUUACUGAUUUAUUACUAUAUUAAAAAUGUUUAAUUAA